CCCCGCUGGACGUGCCGGGGAGCUCUUCUGCGUCUGGACCCGCAGAGCUGCUGGAAGGCGCAGCGCUGGCGACAACGGUACCCUGCGGGGAGGCGGCGGGACCGGACGGGGCCGCGGGGCCGUCAUCCUGCGCCUGGGCAGCGCUGGGAUCUUCGAGGCCCAGCAGCCUCCGGGCCCGCUGGCCGCACCGACUCUCGAUGGUUCUGACGAGGGCGUCGAUGAGCGGUGCGCUGAUGGGUCCCAGGGCGUGCUCUGUGCACUGGACCAGGGUGUCCCUGUCUGUGGCCCCACCUGGCACAGGAAUGCCAGGCUCAUGCUUUUCAGAAAGUUGAUCCAGUGCAGCGUAAUUCCUGCUCCAGCCAGGGCAGCACCAGGUCGAGGAUGUCUCAUCCGAUCCUGAAAAGUGCUGCCCAAACCUUUGGCAGGAGGCCGCCCACUCUCUCCUGCUCUUUGGCCAUCUGCUCAGGGGACGGUGGAGGGGGUCUCCCCGCACGGGGACCCGGAUGUUCUGCAUGGCCCUACUGCACAGCAGGCAGCUGUCUCUCAGCCUUGCCCACUGAUGAAUGCAGGCAGUGCAGAACAUGUGAUUACACAGAAUCACGUAGGCACUGUCCUGUUGCACAUCACUGCAGAUGGAACAUUUCCAUGCCUCUUCUGUGGCCAUGGUCUUCUCACUGCAGCAGGCUGGGAGAACUGAGGAUGACAAGUUGUUCUCCUUCUCUGGAGAUGCGGUGGUGGUGUCUCACUGUGAAGAGGAACGGAGGUCACAGUCACUCGCUGUCCCAGGGUGUGAAAAUCCUCAGCAGAUCCCUCCCAGGCCCAUUACUGGGCCAUCUCGUGCUUCCCACUGGCACAGGGCCAGGCACUGCACAGUUGCCCUGAGGGACCCAGGUGUCCCUGCACCACUCACCUCCGCUGCUGCGGGUGUGCUCAGUAGGGUCCCGGCUGCCUGCACAAGGCAGGGCUGGGAAACAGAAGUGAUACUGCAGUGUAAGGCACUGAGAUGCUGCGAGCAGCCCCAGGCUCGACCCAGCACAGCCAAAACCUUGCUCAACCUCCAAGCCUCGCAGAGCUGCUCAGCAGGGUCCAGAAACAAGCCAGACUGAGCCAGGCUCUGCCAGCACCCCACUAUGAGCAGUGAGGGCUAUGCAGUCACAGUCCGUCACCCGGUGAUGUCAUAGCCUGUUGCUCGGGGACAUCGCCAUGGGCUGUCCACCUCCACAGCACCCAUCCCUGAAUUUUAAGUUUAUAUUCACAGUUUCAAUAACUACUGAAGUUUUAGGCAUGGAGAGCAAUAGACUUGUGAUACAAAGAAGGAUUCUUUGAUCUUAAAAAUAUGAUCAUGUACAGAAAAUGUUACAGUGUUCAGGAGCCUGCUUACGGGUUUUGGAAACUUCAGUGGAUCACAUACAGAAAGUCAAAAUAUUAAAACAUGGUUCUCAGAUAUCAAUGUGCAUCGGUCAGUACAGUCUUUAGAAACACUCAGAGGAAUAUCAGUAGUGAAUCUGUGUAGAAAAAUAAGGUCUAUUGUUAAAUGUUAGGGAAAAAAAACCAACCAAAACCUGAAUGAUCUGAACCUACUGGUGCAGAGAGGGAUUGAGGAAGACACUGUACAGAAACAAUCCCUUUUGCCAUUUCACCACCUAUAUAUUUUCCGAGCAAGCAUUAGUUUCUCUGUAUUGUGAGAACUCCAUCGGCACAGCCUGCAUGACAUUGAAUACAGCUCCAGGUUUUUUUUUGUUUUGUUUUUGUUUUUUUGGUUUUUUUUGCUAUAUUUUUCAGCUUUAUUUCAAGGAUUUAAGUUGAACAGUACUCUUUGCCACCAUUUUGGUUUUAUUUUUUCUUUUAUGGAUUACUCACUGUUUCCUAGGCUGUGAACCUUUAACCUCAUCAGUUUCUUCCAGUUACUAUACCAGCUAGAACAAAACAGUUUAUUUUUGUUUCAAGCACUGUGCAAUUAUCAUCUGCAAGCAUGCAUGUGAACACAAGCAAGCCACACAAAGGAAUAAAUAAGCCAUUUAUUAUAUACAGUAACAGUCUGAUUUAUCAAAAGCACGUGCACUGGCUAUGUUACAGAUAUAUGAAGCAGAAAGCUUGAGCAGAACUUCCUUGAGAAUCACAGAAUCACGGAACUGUAGGGGCUGGAAGGGACCUCUAGAGAUCAUUGAGUCCAAUCCCACUGCAAAGCAGGCUCCCUGCAGAAGGCUGCACAGGUUGGUGCCCAGGCAGGUCUUGAAUAUCUACAGAGAGGAGGGUCCAUAACCUCCAUGGGCAGCCUUUUCCAGUGCUGUCACCCUCACUGUGGAGAAGCUCCUUUGCAUAUUUGUGCAGAACUUUCUAUGGUUCAGUUUAUGGCCAUUUCCCCUUGUCCUGUCCCCACAGACCAAUCCAAAAGAAGAUCCAUAAGAAGUUCCAAAAGAAGUUGGCCAUAGCCCUUUGACUCCCACACUUAAGAUAUUUAUAAACAUUAAUCAUAUCCCCUCUGAGUCUUCUUUUCUCAAGGCUGAACAGACCCAGUUCUCCCAGCCUUUCCUCAUACGGGAGAUGCUCGAGGCCCUUCAUCAUCUUUGUGGCCCCUUGCUAGACUCUCUCCAGGAGAUCCCUGUCUUUUUUGUACUGGGGAGCCCAGAACUGGAUACAGUACUCCAGGUAUGCUAAUGUAAAGUGUAUUGUUUUUAAUGUUAACAUGUCAUAUAUAAAUAAUACAUGUAAAUUAUAAUGUAUAUAUAAGUAAUAUUAUACAUAUAUUUAUUUAUUUAUAUAAUAUAUAUGUUAUAUAUAUACAUUAUAUUAUAUAUAUAUAAAUAAAAUAAAAAAUAAAAUAUGUAACAUAUAUAAAAUAAAAUAAUAAAGAACAUAUUUAUCAUCUUUUUUCUUACAAUUACAAGUUUUCAGUGUGCCAUGUUGACCUAAAUAGGAUUUCCAAGCUGCCUUCCUACAUUAUUUUAAGGUUCUGUUGUUUCUGCUGUGAAACCCUUAAAUUUCAUAAUAGAAUAAAAACGAAUGUCAGAAAUGGUUAAAGGAUGUUUUUUUAAGCUUACUCAGUAACUAUCUUUCCACAGAACCCAUAAUUUGCCAGCAAUGGAUAUAGUCCAUCCAAUGCAUUAAGGAGUGGAAUAUUAAACAGUUUUGGAUAUUUACCAUCAGAUCUAUAUGAAAAAUUUUUUCUUCCCUAGCAUUGUCCUUCAAACUGACUCAUAUAUACUUAUAUAUAUAUGCAUAUAUAUAUACAGGGAAUUGUCAUUUGUGACUGCACCUUCACCUUUCAGAUAUUUUAAAUGUUAUAAGCUUUGGUAUUGUAAAACAUAUGAAUACUUAAUAUUGUGCUAUUUAACUAAUUGUAAUCAUAAGAUGUUCUGCUUUAACCUCAAUAAUCAAAGAUAUUAAAAGUCAGAACUGAGAAUGAAGCGUGAAAGAAAAUAUGAAAAGAAUAUUUGUGCAAGUAAAAAAGUCUGCUUGUAUUUUUCUGUUCAUUUUGAAUUACUUUAUUUCAUGUAGGUUUUAAAUCAGCCACUAGGCAGAACUGCAAAACUAGGCAACAAAGAUACACUGAAAUAUAUAUGUUGAUAUACUUAAGUAAAUAAUGAUAAUGGUAGCUAUUUCAUGCAAAAUAAUUUUUAAGAUAUGUAACACUCUCAGUUUUCACAAACCAGUAUCUGCAUUGUCUGAAUAAUGUUUUUGUUCAUAUAAGAAGAGGCUAGGAACACAACUUUGAGACCAAAGAUUUGCAGUACUCUCAAUUCCCCAUGUUUCUCCUGAGACAGUGGUGUGUGAAAGAUCUCCCACUCCAGGCAUGUUGCAAUUUGUUUGCUCUGGGAUUGGCCUGGUAACUCCAGGUGGUUUCUGUGAGAAUAAAAAGCAACCUGAUUUAGACUCCUACCUUAUAAAUGAACCUAAGCCUUUCAGUUGAAGUGAAGGAGCACGUCUGAUGAUUUUUUAGCUGUAAACCUUUCCCUUGCAUUUCCUACAGAAACAUCUACACAUGAUAACCUAACUUUACCAUCAGUACGUGUCUCUAGCAUUCCUUGCAGAGUACUCAUGACCUGAAUGGGCAAGAUGCUGCUGUAGCAUGUGGUGUGCCAGGCCUCAGUGUCGCACUCUGAUGGACAAGUGAAUGAACUGCAGCCAGUUCCACAGCCUAGACAAAAGUUCUGUCAAGCAGCGAUCCUGGUGUAUGAAAAUAAGUGAAGAUGGUGCUGUAACAUCAGUCUGUCCACAAGGGACAUUAAUUAUUGCUGUAACAUCGGUCUGUCCACAAGGGACCACGUGAUUCCUGAAGUCAUAUUUAUUUGCAAACUAGAAACAAAGAAAGGCCAGACAGCUGGACUGGCAGUAAUUUAUGAAGGUUGAAAAUAAAGUAAAAGUUUCAAAUAAGGAUCUGGAGAAAAAAAAAAAAAAAGCGUAAUAAAAUCAAAAACCUCUUGGAAAGAAGGCAAAAAAGGGAAGAUAGCAGGUGGAUAUUUGGCCCAUAAAAACAAAUCAGCUGUAGUCAGUUUUUCCUUACCGGAGUGAUAUUGUCUCUCUGGUACAGAUUUAUUGAUAAACUAAUCUGAGGGUAGUGAGUAAAUGGCAGGUUUGCCUGAUGGGAAGUUAGUAGCUUAUCACUGUCUGUACUGAGUAACUUUUUCAUACUCAGAGGUUGUGUAUAUGAUCAUGUUUUCAAGUCUCUGAUCCUAAUAAAAGAUCCUCUCAUAAAAUGCUUAUUUUUCUGAGGGUUGCAAAGUGGCUUUUAAUAUUUUUGAGAAGUCCAUUAGCAAUAAUUUGCUGUGCUUAAAUUUAUGAGGCUCAGAGUUGUUAUUCUUCAGUAUUUUCUAGGUGUUAUUUUCACUGUAACUUUCUUGGACAUAUAUUUGUUUUCUUUCUUUUGUUAAAUUGUUUUACUUUCUUUCAUUUGGCAUCUUGGAAAGUUUUGAAGGAUGCUAAUGUAGCUAGUAUAGCAACAAGACACAAGGCAUUUGUUCUCUCCUUCUUCAGAAAGAAAAAAAAAACAACAAGAUAUUCAGAUAAAAAAAGAUAAAAAAAGAUCAGAACUUGAGAAUGGAAUAUAUAAAAAAGUAAAAUGCAAUUAGACUUUUCAGUCUAGAAAGGAAGUGACAGUAGUGGGAUAUGGUAGGGGUAAGUAAAAUGAUUAAUGGCACAGGAUAGGUCAACAAGCAAUAGCUAUUCUCUAUUUCUCAUACAGAAGCAGCAGGAAGCAUCAAAUGAAAUGAGCAGGCAGAUGGUUUAAAGCAAAAAGUACUCAAAAUGUGUAAUUAAAUUGGGGAGUUCAUUGCCACAGGAUGUUGUGGAUUCAAAAUAAUAUUAAUGCCUUCAGGAAACCAUUAGAUGAAUUAAUAUGGAAAAUAUCCAUUAAAAGUUGUAAAACAGUAAUUUGCAUCCCACUCUGGCUACCGAAUUACCUCAUCACAAAUUCUUGAAAGGGGAGAAGAUAUAUGUGGAAAAAAUACAAUAUGUACAAUAUUAUAUUUCCAAUAUAACAACACUCAGUUUUUAGAAUUUUCUUCACACCUUGAAAUACAUCUUAAAUAA
ensembl:lncRNA